ACUCCUACGGGAGGCAGCAGUGGGGAAUAUUGCACAAUGGGGGAAACCCUGAUGCAGCCAUGCCGCGUGUGUGAAGAAGGCCUUCGGGUUGUAAAGCACUUUCAGUAGGGAGGAAGGUAGUGUAGUUAACACCUGCAUUAUUUGACGUUACCUACAGAAGAAGCACCGGCUAACUCCGUGCCAGCAGCCGCGGUAAUACGGAGGGUGCGAGCGUUAAUCGGAAUUACUGGGCGUAAAGCGCAUGCAGGCGGCCUGUUAAGUCAGAUGUGAAAGCCCGGGGCUUAACCUCGGAAUUGCAUUUGAAACUGGCAGGCUAGAGUCUUGUAGAGGGGGGUAGAAUUUCAGGUGUAGCGGUGAAAUGCGUAGAGAUCUGAAGGAAUACCAGUGGCGAAGGCGGCCCCCUGGACAAAGACUGACGCUCAGAUGCGAAAGCGUGGGGAGCAAAACAGGAUUAGAUACCCUGGUAGGACAGAG
rnacentral:rRNA from 1 species